GGCACGACAUAUAUAUAAUACUUAUAUAUAUAUAUAUAUAUAGAAUAACUUUUUAUCGAUUAUUUUGAAAAAUGAGUAAGUGAGAGUCCAUGUAAUAAAUAAAAUUUACAACAAAUACUUCAUAAAGUACCCCUCUUUUUAUCUCAAUUCACUUGGCUUCUCAAAACAUAUUUUUAAUAACAUUCAUCAUUAAUAUUAUAACUCACAAUAUUAACAACCAGAUCAUACCCACGAAAGAGGGGGCUUUUCGAUAAGGAUUUCUCCUUAUUGGCGCGCAAUUAGGUGACCAAACCCCUUUCCUCGACAUAACUUUCUAGACAUCGUCAAUAAUGCAAAUAAUAAUAUGAAUAACUUUGUCGUCUUAAUAUUGACUUAAUAAUAUAAAAUAUUACGACAAUAAUUAAAUCAAUAACGUGAGAUACUAUGCAACAAUUACUGUAGCAAUAAUUGAGUAUAACUAAGUGACUUCUCACGUAAGCAUCAAUAAUUAAUACCGUGUGCUACUAUGCAACCACGCGUAUUACUGUACUUUUAUCACCGGGUAUUUCAACAGUUAACAGUAAAACUUUCGCCGUUAUUUUUAUAAAAAGAUAUUUCUAUCAUUUUCUAACUUUGACAAUAAUUUCGUUGUGGGUCCACCAAUAAUUGUGUCGUCGUACGAAUAUUUCCUGUUAAAACGAAUAUUCUCCGACCAAUCAAAUAUUUUUUAACAAGUUGCUUACUUUGCAAAAUUUAUAAAUAUUACCCACAACUAUAACAUUAUAUCAAAUCCACACCAUAAUAUUCAAAAAUAUAUCUCGAGAAAAAAUAAUCUUUAUUCAUAAAAGUUGGGGUCUUACAUUUUGGAUUUGCUUAGUGAUAAAAUCAAACUUGUAAAACAAUGUCUUACUGCUUUGAGCUCGAACAAGACUAUAUUCGACUUAAGUCCGACUCGACUCGUUUAGUAUUUAAUUAAAAUAAUUGUUUUUACAUUAUAUAUAUAUAUAUAUGAUUAAUUUGUAAUUAUUUAAGGUUAACAUGGAUCAAUUAAAAUUCGGUUCGACUCGAGUUCAACAACUGAAAUUUGAAUAACAUAUUGGGACUCGUUUAAAGAUACGGUCGACUAACAUUGUAAGACCCCAACUUUUAUGAAUAAAGAUGAUUUUUCUAUAAAUAUCAUUUUUAAAUAUUAUGGAAUGAAUUUGAUAUAAUAUUAUAGUUGUGGAUAAUAUUUAUAAAUUUUGUAAAGUACGCAAGUUGUUUUAUAAUAUUCGAUUAGUCUGGGAAUAUUCGUUUUAACAGGGAAUAUUCGUACGACGGCACAAUCAUUAGUGGACCCCACAACGAAAUUAUUGUCGGAUUGAGAAAAUGAUAAAAAUAUUCUUAUAAAAAUAACGGUGGAAGUUUUACAGUUAAAACUGUUGAACUACUCGGUAGUAAAAGUACAGUAAUACGUGUGGUUGCAUAGUAGCACACGGUAUUGAUUAUUGAUGCUUACGUGAGAAGUCACUUAGUUUUGUUCAAUUAUUUAUACAGUAAUUGCUGCAUAGUAUCUCACGUUAUUUGAUUCAAUUAUUGUCUAUAUUUUAUAUAUUAUUAAAUCAAUAAUUGAAAUGACAGAGUUAUUAAUAUUAUUAUUUGCAAUAUUAACGAUGUCUAGAAGUUCUGCCAAGGAGAGGUUUGGUCACCUAAUUGCGCGCCAAUAGGGAGAAAUCCUUAUUGGAAAGCCCCCUCUUUCCUGGAAAAGACCUGGUCGAUUAAUAUUGUGAAUUAUAAUAAUGAUGAUAAAUGUUGUUAAAAAUAUUGAGGUAAUUUUUAUGAAGUAUUUGAUGUAAAUUUUGCUUAUUUUAUGGACCCUCAUUUGCCCAUUUUUCAAAAUAAUCGGUAAAAAAAUUAUUUAAUAUAAUAAUAGG
rnacentral:lncRNA from 1 species